rnacentral:rRNA from 1 species
UACACUCCUACGGGAGGCAGCAGUGGGGAAUUUUGACAAUGGGCGAAAGCCUGAUCCAGCCAUGCCGCGUGCAGGAUGAAGGCCUUCGGGUUGUAAACUGCUUUUGUACGGAACGAAACGGCCUUUUCUAAUAAAGAGGGCUAAUGACGGUACCGUAAGAAUAAGCACCGGCUAACUACGUGCCAGCAGCCGCGGUAAUACGUAGGGUGCAAGCGUUAAUCGGAAUUACUGGGCGUAAAGCGUGCGCAGGCGGUUAUGUAAGACAGUUGUGAAAUCCCCGGGCUCAACCUGGGAACUGCAUCUGUGACUGCAUAGCUAGAGUACGGUAGAGGGGGAUGGAAUUCCGCGUGUAGCAGUGAAAUGCGUAGAUAUGCGGAGGAACACCGAUGGCGAAGGCAAUCCCCUGGACCUGUACUGACGCUCAUGCACGAAAGCGUGGGGAGCAAACAGGAUUAGAAACCCCGGUAGUCCCAUG